rnacentral:rRNA from 1 species
UACGGGGGGGGCAAGCGUUGUUCGGAAUUACUGGGCGUAAAGGGCUCGUAGGUGGCCAACUAAGUCAUACGUGAAAUCCCUCAGCUUAACUGGGGAACUGCGCCUGAUACUGGUUGGCUUGAGUUUGGGAGAGGGACGCGGAAUUCCAGGUGUAGCGGUGAAAUGCGUAGAUAUCAGGAGGAACACCGAUGGCGAAGGCAGGUCUCUGGGCUGACACUGACGCUCAUGCACGAAAGCGUGGGGAGCAAACAGG